UCCCAGGUGGUCUAAUGGUUACGACUUGGCACUUUCACUGCUGGGGCUCAGGUUCAAUCCUUGGUCAGGGAA
rnacentral:tRNA from 1 species